AAAGGCAUUUAUUACUGCUUCCUGAAGAUGGUCUAGAGAAUCGAGGUGCCAGUGGGAGUGAGCAGUGCUUCUUUCAUUCUGCAGAAACUCCCUGUUAUGCUCGGCCAGGAGCUACUUCUUUAACCUUAUAGUUGCUGAGAAGAAAAUCCAUAUAUUACGAGGCAUUUUUGUCGGCCAGAAGUAUCAUUCCUACCUCUUUGGAAAUGAAGUCGUUGAAACCAGACAUUUAUAUCAGAAUGUCCUUUUUUAGAUUCAUAUUUUGCUAUAUUAUUUUUUGUAUCACAGGUUCCCAAGAUUCAGGGUUGGUGAAUUCCCUGGAAGAACUCAGAGGACUCAGGAAAGCUGUUAUUCUAAUGCUUACAGUUUAUUAUAACAAAAGAUGACAGAUUCAGAUUAGCAAAGGAGAAGGCUUAUCAGGCAGGUGUAGGGUUCCAAUUGUGCUCUUUCAGUAGAACUAUGAGUUGUCCCAGCUACAGUGUAUAACAACACAGGCAAGUCAUACCAACUAGGGAAGCCCCUGUUCCAUGGUAUUCAGAGACUGUAUUGUGGGUCAGUUACAUAGUAUGGAGCCACCCAUAUACCCGACUUUCAUCUCCAACCUUCUUUCUCUCCCUUGCUAGAGGGCAAAAGGAUACAGCAUAACCCAAAGCCUCAGGCAUACAAUAACAGGUGCUUGCCAGGAAUCACACUGUAAGCAUACACGCAAUGUGCCUUAGACAAAACCCUCAAGGAUACAAGGAUACAGUGGUAUCAGACAGGUACUCCAGUAGCUCAGAGGAAAUUUCACUUGGAAUCCAGGAUACUAAAGAUUGGUGUUGUGGAGCAGCUGACAGAUGAGAGGGCAGGCAAUGCUGUGGUUGCAUGUGUGUGCUCCGCUCUUUCAGUAUUCUAAAAUGAGAGUCUGCUUUUUGUUUUUCUGUAAUACAAAUGAAUUUGUCAUGACCUAAGGGAAAAUUUUUUUCUCUAGUUUCUCUUCAGUUGGAUAAUAAGAAAAAUUAUAUAAGAAAAAUACAGAUAUAUUAAAGA
rnacentral:lncRNA from 1 species